UAGCGAAGGGGGCUAGCGUUGCUUCGGAAUCACUGGGCGUAAAGCGCACGUAGGCGGCUUUUAAGUCGAGAAGGUGAAGUCCUGGAGCUCAACUCCAGAACUCGCCUUUGAUACUGGAGAGCUUGAGUCCGGGAGAGGUGAGUGGAACUGCGAGUGUAGAGGUGAAAUUCGUAGAUAUUGGGAAGAACACCGGUGGCGAAGGCGG
rnacentral:rRNA from 1 species